rnacentral:rRNA from 1 species
UGCAGUCGAACGAACUUCCGUUAAUUGAUUAUGACGUACUUGUACUGAUUGAGAUUUUAACACGAAGUGAGUGGCGAACGGGUGAGUAACACGUGGGUAACCUGCCCAGAAGUAGGGGAUAACACCUGGAAACAGAUGCUAAUACCGUAUAACAGAGAAAACCGCAUGGUUUUCUUUUAAAAGAUGGCUCUGCUAUCACUUCUGGAUGGACCCGCGGCGUAUUAGCUAGUUGGUGAGGUAAAGGCUCACCAAGGCAGUGAUACGUAGCCGACCUGAGAGGGUAAUCGGCCACAUUGGGACUGAGACACGGCCCAGACUCCUACGGGAGGCAGCAGUAGGGAAUCUUCCACAAUGGACGCAAGUCUGAUGGAGCAACGCCGCGUGAGUGAAGAAGGGUUUCGGCUCGUAAAGCUCUGUUGUUAAAGAAGAACGUGGGUAAGAGUAACUGUUUACCCAGUGACGGUAUUUAACCAGAAAGCCACGGCUAACUACGUGCCAGCAGCCGCGGUAAUACGUAGGUGGCAAGCGUUAUCCGGAUUUAUUGGGCGUAAAGCGAGCGCAGGCGGUCUUUUAAGUCUAAUGUGAAAGCCUUCGGCUCAACCGAAGAAGUGCAUUGGAAACUGGGAGACUUGAGUGCAGAAGAGGACAGUGGAACUCCAUGUGUAGCGGUGAAAUGCGUAGAUAUAUGGAAGAACACCAGUGGCGAAGGCGGCUGUCUGGUCUGCAACUGACGCUGAGGCUCGAAAGCAUGGGUAGCGAACAGGAUUAGAUACCCUGGUAGUCCAUGCCGUAAACGAUGAUUACUAAGUGUUGGAGGGUUUCCGCCCUUCAGUGCUGCAGCUAACGCAUUAAGUAAUCCGCCUGGGGAGUACGACCGCAAGGUUGAAACUCAAAAGAAUUGACGGGGGCCCGCACAAGCGGUGGAGCAUGUGGUUUAAUUCGAAGCUACGCGAAGAACCUUACCAGGUCUUGACAUCUUCUGACAGUCUAAGAGAUUAGAGGUUCCCUUCGGGGACAGAAUGACAGGUGGUGCAUGGUUGUCGUCAGCUCGUGUCGUGAGAUGUUGGGUUAAGUCCCGCAACGAGCGCAACCCUUAUUACUAGUUGCCAGCAUUAAGUUGGGCACUCUAGUGAGACUGCCGGUGACAAACCGGAGGAAGGUGGGGACGACGUCAAAUCAUCAUGCCCCUUAUGACCUGGGCUACACACGUGCUACAAUGGAUGGUACAACGAGUCGCGAGACCGCGAGGUUAAGCUAAUCUCUUAAAACCAUUCUCAGUUCGGACUGUAGGCUGCAACUCGCCUACACGAAGUCGGAAUCGCUAGUAAUCGCGGAUCAGCAUGCCGCGGUGAAUACGUUCCCGGGCCUUGUACACACCGCCCGUCACACCAUGAGAGUUUGUAACACCCAAAGCCGGUGGGGUA